GAUUCAUUUGCUUUACUUUGCUAAUGGUUAAUGAAAAUUCAUUGUUUGGUUAUAUUAAUCAGGAGUCUGUAUCCCAAGUAAUGGAAAUUACUGGGACUUUCAAGUGCAGAGCUAAGACGAUGGUUGAUGUUGCUAUUCAGCGGUUGGACAACUUCUCCGUGCCACAAGAAUAUCUAACGGACUGAAGUUUGAGGCAAACAAGAGAGGAGAGGAACAGUAUGCAAGGUCAAGAUGGGGUCAAUUCUAGGGUG